CAGCUAUGCAUCACAGUGAUCAGUGGUUUCUAAGAGAUGGGAGCGACCGGAUUGGGAACAGGAACUAUUACCUGGGCAACUAACAAACUGAAGUAUACUGGCUGGGGGUUGGGGGGCAUCUUCUGCUCCAGGGAAGGCCAGGCAUGCCUUCUUUUUGCGUUAUGCUGCUAAAUAUUUUCGGACAACUUCCCGGGGCCCUGCCAGGAGUCGCAGCCACAUUAUCUCAUUCCUUCUGUCCCCCAAGGCUGCGGGGUGCGCGUUAUUAGUUUGAAAGGCCCGAAGUGGGGUGCGGUGCCCCUGGGACCCGGCUGGGCCGCUCUGGCGCCGUUCUGGCUGCCAGCCGGUAUCACUCCAAGUGAUGGACACCACAGAAAUGGGAAGCUGCCUACCACGUGGGGAGCAACUUGGCAUUGAAAGGCCCUGGCAGAAAGCACAGACUCCAGUUUGGGUACUUGGCUGUGUGACUACACAAGCUUUAGGAGCUCCGCUAUGUGGAUUUUUCUGGGAAACCAGAAGCUGUGGGCCUCAGCAAGCAAAGAAUUCCUGGGAAGGAGAGCAAACCCACUGGACCAUCGCUGGAAGGAGAGUUGAAUCACGUGACUAUGUCAGUGUGUCUUGGUCGGGAGAGGUGCCUUCAAUAACAGAGGAAGCGAAGGAGCUGGUAGAAAGCUUCUAUCUGAUGAAGACUCCUUGGGGUGAGGAUGGGGCAGGAAAACAAGGGAUUGGAGACACCUCUCUGUGAGAAAGGCACUGUUGUCAUCAUUUUUUUUUUUUCUUCAACAGAAAUCUGGGCAGAGAGGUUGAGUUACUUGUUUGAAGUUACACAGCUGGUGAGUAGCACAGAUGAAAUUUGAACAGACACUUCACCAAAGGCACAGGGAAGGCAAAUAAGCACAUGAAUAAAUACUCAGCAG
rnacentral:lncRNA from 1 species